ACUCGUUAACUUCAACAUUCCCAAUUUAACACUAUUGUGAGUACUCUCACACACCAAACUCAAGUCUCUAAACUGCUCAAUUAAAUCCCAUUCCUUAACCAUUAACAUAGACAUAUGCAAUGAUUUCCGACUCAAUGCAUCAGCCACUACGUUUGCUUUACCCGGAUGGUAAUUCAAACCAAAGUCAUAAUCCUUCAGAAA
rnacentral:lncRNA from 1 species